rnacentral:rRNA from 1 species
AACGAACGCUGGCGGCAUGCCUAACACAUGCAAGUCGAACGAGACCUUCGGGUCUAGUGGCGCACGGGUGCGUAACGCGUGGGAACCUGCCCUUAGGUUCGGAAUAACUCCCCGAAAGGGGUGCUAAUACCGGAUAAUGUCUUCGGACCAAAGAUUUAUCGCCUUUGGAUGGGCCCGCGUUGGAUUAGCUAGUUGGUAGGGUAAAAGCCUACCAAGGCGACGAUCCAUAGCUGGUCUGAGAGGAUGAUCAGCCACACUGGGACUGAGACACGGCCCAGACUCCUACGGGAGGCAGCAGUGGGGAAUAUUGGACAAUGGGCGAAAGCCUGAUCCAGCAAUGCCGCGUGAGUGAUGAAGGCCUUAGGGUUGUAAAGCUCUUUUAUCCGGGAUGAUAAUGACAGUACCGGGAGAAUAAGCUCCGGCUAACUCCGUG